rnacentral:rRNA from 1 species
AGAAUCAACGCUGGCGGCGUGCCUAACACAUGCAAGUCGAACGAGAAAGUGGAGCAAUCCAUGAGUAAAGUGGCGCACGGGUGAGUAACACGUGACUAACCUACCUUUUAGUGGGGGAUAACCUAGGGAACCUGGGCUAAUACCGCAUAACACUUACGAGUCAAAGCAGCAAUGCGCUGAAAGAGGGGGUCGCGGCCGAUUAGCUAGUUGGCGGGGUAAUGGCCCACCAAGGCAGUGAUCGGUAUCCGGCCUGAGAGGGCGCACGGACACACUGGAACUGAAACACGGUCCAGACUCCUACGGGAGGCAGCAGUGGGGAAUUUUGCGCAAUGGGGGAAACCCUGACGCAGCAACGCCGCGUGGAGGAUGAAGUCCCUUGGGACGUAAACUCCUUUCGAUCGGGACGAUAAUGACGGUACCGGAAGAGAAGCCCCGGCUAACUUCGCGCCAGCAGCCGC